rnacentral:rRNA from 1 species
GAUGAACGCUGGCGGCGUGCCUAAUACAUGCAAGUCGAGCGAACAGACGAGGAGCUUGCUCCUCUGACGUUAGCGGCGGACGGGUGAGUAACACGUGGAUAACCUACCUAUAAGACUGGGAUAACUUCGGGAAACCGGAGCUAAUACCGGAUAAUAUAUUGAACCGCAUGGUUCAAUAGUGAAAGACGGUUUUGCUGUCACUUAUAGAUGGAUCCGCGCUGCAUUAGCUAGUUGGUAAGGUAACGGCUUACCAAGGCAACGAUGCGUAGCCGACUUGAGAGGGUGAUCGGCCACACUGGAACUGAGACACGGUCCAGACUCCUACGGGAGGCAGCAGUAGGGAAUCUUCCGCAAUGGGCGAAAGCCUGACGGAGCAACGCCGCGUGAGUGAUGAAGGUCCUCGGAUCGUAAAACUCUGUUAUUAGGGAAGAACAAAUGUGUAAGUAACUAUGCACGUCUUGACGGUACCUAAUCAGAAAGCCACGGCUAACUACGUG